rnacentral:rRNA from 1 species
GUUGGAAGCUAUACAUUCUGCACUUCAAAUUAAUCUAUCUGAGGUUAAGCAGCUUUGGCCCAGUCCAGCACUUGGAUGGGAGACCAAUUGGAAAGCUGAGUUGCUGUUGAAG